rnacentral:RNase_P_RNA from 1 species
UGAGUAAAUCAGAUAAUCGCAUUUACUACUUUAGAGUAAAUGAGGAAAGUCCGAGCUCCAUAGAGCAGGGUGCUGGGUAAUACCCAGUGGAGGCGACUCUAAGGAUAGUGCAACAGAGAGAUACCGCCUAUAGUAUAGGUAAGGGUGGAAAGGUGAGGUAAGAGCUCACCAGCUGUUAGGCGACUAACAGGCUAUGUAAACCCCAUCUGGAGCAAGACCAAGUAGGGAUUUUAAAAGCGGCUGCUCGUCGUAUCCCGUGGUAGGUUGCUUGAGCCUUCUGGUAACAGCUGGCCUAGAUUGAUGAUUAUCAAAAACAGAACUCGGCUUAUAGAUUUACUCAUAUU